UACGUAGGGGGCAAGCGUUGUCCGGAUUUAUUGGGCGUAAAGCGCGUGUAGGCGGCCAGGUAGGUCUGCUGUGAAAACUCGAGGCUCAACCUCGAGAUGUCGGCGGAAACCAUCUGGCUAGAGUCCGGAAGAGGAGAGUGGAAUUCCCGGUGUAGCGGUGAAAAUGCGCAGAUAUCGGGAAGAACACCCGUGGCGAAGGCGGCUCUCUGGGACGGUACUGACGCUGAGACGCGAAAGCG
rnacentral:rRNA from 1 species